rnacentral:rRNA from 1 species
UACGUAGGAGGCAAGCGUUGUCCGGAAUUACUGGGCGUAAAGCGCGUGUAGGCGGAUGUCUAAGUCUGUCGUGAAAGCGCCUGGCUUAACCGGGCGAGGUCGAUGGAAACUAGGCGUCUAGAGGCCGGUAGAGGGGGGGUGGAAUUCCGGGUGUAGUGGUGAAAUGCGUAGAGAUCCGGAGGAACACCCGUGGCGAAGGCGGCCCCCCUGGGCCGCGCCUGACGCUGAGACGCGAAAGCGCGGGGAGCGAACGGG